rnacentral:rRNA from 1 species
UACGAAGGGGGCUAGCGUUGCUCGGAAUCACUGGGCGUAAAGCGCACGUAGGAGGCUUUUUAAGUCAGAGGUGAAAUCCUGGAGCUCAACUCCAGAACUGCCUUUGAUACUGAGAGGCUUGAGUCCGGGAGAGGUGAGUGGAACUGCGAGUGUAGAGGUGAAAUUCGUAGAUAUUCGGAAGAACACCAGUGGCGAAGGCGGCUCACUGGACCGGUACUGACGCUGAGGCGCGAAAGCGUGGGGAGCAAACGGG